GCUUGUAAAAAGCUGUCGCACUCACAGAGUUCAUCAUAUUUGCUGACUGUGGCCACAGGCGGAGAGGAUGUGAUGAUGCUCUGAUAAGAUGCUCUUCUUCUCGUUUCUGUCUUCCUCAUUUUUAGGCUGCUGUGCCCCUCUGCUCAUAUAAAAACCUCCUGAACGACUGCAGAUAGAACCACUCCUUACAGCUAACUGAAGGUCACAGACCUUCCACCUGAGCAGUUUCAGGACAAACAAAGCAGUGAAGGUGGAAAAGUUUGACAUUUUUAAAAGACUUUUUAAAGAUGAAGGUGCUGCCGUGCUUCAUGCUGGCUGUGCUACUGUCAGCUGGAACCAGUCUGGCUGUGGAUGUGAACCGGUUAACUCGUAUUAUAAAAGCCAUAAGGACAGAGUAAGUGAACUUUAUUAUGUCAUUCAUCAGUAAUCUUCCUGUUUUGUCUUUUUAUUGCUUAUUUGUGAGGGACUGUGCAUAAAACCACUGACCUCAGAUGACAAAUUUCUUCUGGGGCACAACAUUAAAUAAGCUGGAUAUCAGCUGAUGAGGCUUUUCAGGGGCUCACACUGAUAUCAGUGAUUAAUAGUAAUAAAGAACAACAAAAAUAAUAUUAUAAAAAAAAUAGAAGAAAACAAAACUUUGAGUGAAGUAUUUUAUAUUAAAAUCAUCUUUCCAAAGGAAACUGUCGCUCAUUUCUAAUCUGAGAGCUGUUGCAGUCUGGAGUCACAUGUGUGUUUGUACAUUUUUAUUAUUGUUUUUUAAAACACUAAAGUUUUGCUAUUAUUCUACUUUUUGUGCUCGCGUGCUUCCACGUUCAUCUUCAUGGUAUUGUUCGAUAAAUAAGAACUGCAGAUGAAAAUCGGUGACUACAUCGAGCACUUCUACACAUCACAGUCUCAGACAACUAGAAAAAUUUGCAUUUCCUGCGAAAAUGCUGUGUGGAUGCCUUAACGCUGAAGAUGUCUGCUGAAAAAAGCUGAAAA